rnacentral:lncRNA from 1 species
CUGGUCGAUAAACAACUUUUAUUUCAGAGAUCGCACAAUACGUGUAUAUGAAAGACAAUGUUAACAUACCCGAAUAUCACAGACAUAGUUAUAACAAAAAUAGAGAUUAUUCUUAUAAAUGAUGAAAAACAUUUAUGAAUAUAAAACAAGUCAAAAAGUAGUUUAAGUAUCAAAUCUAAUAGUAUGUUUAAUGGUCGUACAUGUACUUUGUUGAUUAGAUAGAAAUAAAGAUAGUUAAAGGGUUAUAUCUGUAUUGUAGUUACGGUAACAAGAACUAACGGUUCACUGGAAUAAACAAUUGAAAAUGUGUAACAAACUGUGCAUAAUGUGGAAUUUAAACACAUAAAACUAAUCAAAAUUAGCGAUAACCAGCGUGCUGACAAGAAAAUCCUAGAGCAAACAUUUAAUAAUUUAACAUUAUGACAUACAAAAUAACUCCAUCCAAUCAAACAUAAAAAAUAUGAGGCAAAAUAAUAUAUAAACAUGCGGUAUGAUUGCCAUUGAGACAACUCUCCAAAAGAGUCCAAUUGACACAGAAAUUAACAACAAGUAGUUUAUCCCUAUCUACCCUAAAUUUGCAUGCCUUCCCAAAUAUAUUUUUUGGAAAUUUUCGGUUAAGCAUAGAUAAAAUCCAGAUAGUUUUUUCGUUCAGCAUGCUUAAAGUAAACUUUUCCAUAAAAUAUUUUUAAAAGAUAAAACCAUUUUAAUGAUCUGCUUUUUUCUAUCAAGAGACAAACGACAAGUAAUCAAAUAUUUAUGUAUUUUGUAUAAGUUACAAAAUAACCCACUUCAACACGUCGCACAUGGAAUGCUAUACUGUCUCUAUGAACCUAUCGGUUAAUAUUUCAAAGAUGUCCACAAGAUAUGUUUGUUAGAGAACAACAUUUUGAACAUCUUCAUAAAUAUUUCACAUGCAAGUAGGUUAGUCUUUUGAAGAACAAAUGGAAAAUGGGUGAAAAUAAACCAAGUUCUUUAUCAUUCGAAAUUGGCAACUAUUUUUAUCAAAAUGAUAUACUGAAAUAAAAUGUCAUGCGUUUAGAGUAUGAAUGAUGACUUUGCCAUGUUCCAUACCACCUACUUCAAAUAACAAAUUUUAGUCAAAUGCAAUUAAAAUGUUCAAUAUUUUUUUGAUUUUAAUAUAUAUUUGAAUAAAAG